rnacentral:rRNA from 1 species
CCUUUUGUAUAAUGGGUCAGCGACUUAUAUUCUGUAGCAAGGUUAACCGAAUAGGGGAGCCGAAGGGAAACCGAGUCUUAACUGGGCGUUAAGUUGCAGGGUAUAGACCCGAAACCCGGUGAUCUAGCCAUGGGCAGGUUGAAGGUUGGGUAACACUAACUGGAGGACCGAACCGACUAAUGUUGAAAAAUUAGCGGAUGACUUGUGGCUGGGGGUGAAAGGCCAAUCAAACCGGGAGAUAGCUGGUUCUCCCCGAAAGCUAUUUAGGUAGCGCCUCGUGAAUUCAUCUCCGGGGGUAGAGCACUGUUUCGGCAAGGGGGUCAUCCCGACUUACCAACCCGAUGCAAACUGCGAAUACCGGAGAAUGUUAUCACGGGAGACACACGGCGGGUGCUAACGUCCGUCGUGAAGAGGGAAACAACCCAGACCGCCAGCUAAGGUCCCAAAGUCAUGGUUAAGUGGGAAACGAUGUGGGAAGGCCCAGACAGCCAGGAUGUUGGCUUAGAAGCAGCCAUCAUUUAAAGAAAGCGUAAUAGCUCACUGGUCGAGUCGGCCUGCGCGGAAGAUGUAA